GGGGGGAGGCCGGAUCCUGGGCUGUGUCUCCGGCGCUCUGUGCUCCGGGGCCUGCGCUGUUGGAUUCGUGCUGCUGGCCCGGCAGCCCCUC
rnacentral:pre_miRNA from 1 species